UUAUCACUUCAGAAAGUUUCCGAGGCCAUAUACACUUUAAAUUUGAUAAAUAAUGUGGUCCAAUUUAUCUGGCAUGGGAAAUUGGAUAUCAAAAUGCAUUAAACAAACAAACUACACAAACACGCUCGAAAUCAGUAGGAGAAAGAGAAAGAGAGUGAGAAAAUGGAAAUGGUGGAAAGUAGGUACAGAAUGAUGAAGAAAUCACUGAAAAUGACCUUAGAAAAGUACCUCGAUUUCAUCGGCUGUAACAAACAACUCCCUCUCAAUAUCGCUAAUCUCAAUGCGGUUCAGGUACCCUGUCUCAACAGCGACAGUGAUAAUCGAGUACCUUGAUCUAUAUCCUUGCAGUUGGUGAGUCUUCAUUGUUCGAGGGCCAAGUAUUUAGACUUUCAGUAUUGCUUUGGGUUGUCUAAUUCCUUUUCAUUUCAGUUGAGUCAGUUGGGGAUUUUUCCCAAUGGCUCAUCAGUUCUGUAAUUAUUAGAGGCUUAUCAGAUUGACUGUGGUGUGUUAGACUU